GACGAACGCUGGCGGCGCGCUUAACACAUGCAAGUCGAGCGAGAACCGGAGCUUGCUCCGGGGACAGCGGCGAACGGGUGAGUAACACGUGGGUAAUCUGCCCUCGAUUCUGGGAUAGCCCGGGGAAACCCGGAUUAAUACCGGAUAGCCUUUCGUAGCUCUCGAGCCUGAAAGAAAAGGUAAGCUUCGGCCUCCGAUCGAGGAUGAGCCCG
rnacentral:rRNA from 1 species